rnacentral:rRNA from 1 species
AGCGAACGCUGGCGGCAGGCCUAACACAUGCAAGUCGAACGAACUCUUCGGAGUUAGUGGCGGACGGGUGAGUAACACGUGGGAACGUGCCCUUUGGUUCGGAAUAACUCAGGGAAACUUGUGCUAAUACCGAAUGCGCCCUUCGGGGGAAAGAUUUAUCGCCAUUAGAGCGGCCCGCGUCUGAUUAGCUAGUUGGUGAGGUAACGGCUCACCAAGGCGACGAUCAGUAGCUGGUCUGAGAGGAUGACCAGCCACACUGGGACUGAGACACGGCCCAGACUCCUACGGGAGGCAGCAGUGGGGAAUCUUGCGCAAUGGGCGAAAGCCUGACGCAGCCAUGCCGCGUGAAUGAUGAAGGUCUUAGGAUUGUAAAAUUCUUUCACCGGGGACGAUAAUGACGGUACCCGGAGAAGAAGCCCCGGCUAACUUCGUG